rnacentral:rRNA from 1 species
GUGAGGAAUAUUGGUCAAUGGGCGGAAGCCUGAACCAGCCAUCCCGCGUGAAGGAAGGCGGCCCUAUGGGUUGUAAACUUCUUUAGUACAUGAAGAACAGGAUCUACGCGUAGGUUUAUGACGGUAAUGUACAAAAAAGCAUCGGCUAACUCCGUGCCAGCAGCCGCGGUAAUACGGAGGAUGCGAGCGUUAUCCGGAUUCAUUGGGUUUAAAGGGUACGUAGGUGGCCCUGUAAGUCAGUGGUGAAAAUCUGCCGCUUAACGGUAGGGGUGCCAAUGAUACUGCGGGGCUUGAGUACAGUUGAGGUAGGUGGAAUGUGUAGUGUAGCGGUGAAAUGCAUAGAUAUUACACAGAACUCCGAUUGCGAAGGCAUCUUACUAAGCUGAAACUGACACUGAUGUACGAAAGCGUGGGGAUCGAACAGGAUUAGAUACCCUGGUAGUCC